UACAGAGGUCUCAAGCGUUGUUCGGAUUCAUUGGGCGUAAAGGGUGCGUAGGUGGCGAGGUUAGUCAGGUGUGAAAUCUCGGGGCUCAACCCCGAAACUGCAUUCGAUACUGCCGUGCUUGAGGACUGGAGAGGAGACUGGAAUUUACGGUGUAGCGGUGAAAUGCGUAGAUAUCGUAAGGAAGACCAGUGGCGAAGGCGGGUCUCUGGACAGUUCCUGACACUGAGGCGCGAAGGCCAGGGGAGCAAACGGG
rnacentral:rRNA from 1 species